GCGAGUAUGGCCCUCACGGGUCUAAUCCACCAUAAACACCUUUGUGAACCAGUCAGGGUGACUCGGCCGUGAAAGCCCAGGCGAUUAGCGGAAGGGCCCUCCUUUGCAAACCCGUUUAGAAGUCUUGAAAGUACUUUUGUAUAAUCUAGUA
rnacentral:misc_RNA from 1 species